rnacentral:rRNA from 1 species
AUUGAACGCUGGCGGCAGGCCUAACACAUGCCAGUCGGGCUCGCGGCGGACGGGUGAGUAAUGUAUGGGGACUGCCUGAUGGAGGGGGAUAACUCCUGGAAACGGUCGCUAAUACCGCAUACCCUCAGAUAACCCAUAUGGGAGUAGCUUGUAGGUGAUGUAACGGCUCACCUAGGCGACGAUCCCUAGCUGGUCUUAGAGGAUGCUCCGCCAAACUGGGACGGAGACACGGCCCAGACUCCUACGGAGUCAGCAGUGGUGAAUAUUGCGCAAUGGGGGCAACCCUGACGCAGCCAUGCCGCGUGAAUGAAGAAGGCCUUAGGGUUUUAAAGUUCUUUCGGUAGCGAGGCGUUAACUACAGAAGAAGCACCGGCUAACUCCGUGCCAGCAGCCGCGGUAAUUC